UACGUAGGGGGCGAGCGUUGUCCGGAAUCAUUGGGCGUAAAGCGCGUGUAGGCGGCCCGGUAAGUCCGCUGUGAAAGUCCAGGGCUCAACCCUGGGAUGCCGGUGGAUACUGUCGGGCUCGAGUCCGGAAGAGGCGAGUGGAAUUCCUGGUGUAGCGGUGAAAUGCGCAGAUAUCUGGAGGAACACCGGUGGCGAAGGCGGCAUCCUGGACCGGCAUUGACGCUGAGGCGCGAAAGCUAGGGGAGCAAACGGG
rnacentral:rRNA from 1 species